rnacentral:rRNA from 1 species
AUUGAACGCUGGCGGCGUGCUUAACACAUGCAAGUCGAUCGGUAACGCGGGGGCAACCCUGGCGACGAGAGGCGGACGGGUGAGGAACGCUUGGGAAUCUGCCUAUCAGCGGGGGACAACCCGGGGAAACUCGGGCUAAUACCGCAUACGCUCUACGGUGGAAAGCCGGGGACCGCAAGGCCUGGCACUGAUAGAUGAGCCCAAUUCGGAUUAGCUAGUUGGCGGGGUAACGGCCCACCAAGGCGACGAUCCGUAGCUGGUCUGAGAGGACGAUCAGCCACACUGGGACUGAGACACGGCCCAGACUCCUACGGGAGGCAGCAGUGGGGAAUAUUGGACAAUGGGGGAAACCCUGAUCCAGCGACGCCGCGUGGGUGAAGAAGGCCUGCGGGUUGUAAAGCCCUUUCGGUAGGGACGAAAGCUCUCGACCUAACACGUCGGGAGGUUGACUUAACCUACAAAAGAAGCACCGGCUAACUCUGUGCCAGCAGCCGCGGUAACAC